CAAGCUACAAAAAGUCUGAAUUUCGACUCAUUUGGGCCUGCUUUUGUUAUCCUUCCUGACAUGGAGCAGUAUUUUAUGCCAGUGAAAUCAAUGGAACUAUCCCUCAUCAUGAGCAAUGGGAUCAGGACAUGUUGCUUUCCAAAUACAAGAAUAAAACCAUCAUCCAGUAAGAGCAGAGGCUGGGACAACGUCACGCCCUUUAUCGGCAUAUAGUAAAACAUCACUGAAAACAAAGCAGAACCUUCCAAGGUUUCCAGUGAAACUCUGAGAUGCUGGCCAGAUUUUGUACUGCUUCUGGAUUAGCUGGUACAUUAAUUAUUUUCUAAAAACAUUCCCUGUGGGAUUUUCAGCUUGCAAAUGCUGCUGUCUGCCAUGCUGUCAAUAUUAGUAGGGCAUGCCUGGAGAGAUUUCUUUGCCCUGCAGGUCCCCUAUGGAGAGUGUGAAGAGGAAUGCACAGCCUCAGAUUGCACCAGCAUUUCUGCUGCUCUCCCUGUAAAAUUAGAGCUACCAGGAAUCUUGGCAUAAAUCAAGCAGAAAUGCUGGCAUGGUAAUCCUGCCGGCAAAACGUCUCAACCCCUACACUUCUGCUAAGACACUGCUGGGCACUGGACCCUGGAGGUGUAAACACCAGAGAAAGUUAUCUGGGCAGCGAGUCCUAGCAGAAGAGGAUGAAGUUCCAAAAUGCCCUUCUCAUCACACAGCAGAACAGCUGAUGGGCUCAAGUUACAGAACAGGAUUUGACUUUCAACUGAAGUUUAUCCACCAAGUCCUGUAACUUCAGCACAUUCUUUUUGUCCUCUUCACCCUAUUGAAAAGAGACCAUGCCAGGUUACCUUUACGUUUUUGAUGAGAAAAAAAUAUUUCAGGUGGAUUUUCUCUUUUGCACCUGCCUGGAAAGUCAGCUACUUGAUGCACCAUUCAUAUUUCCGAAUGCCUUGGAUGGCAUCUGCAUCUCGUUUCGGCUCUCCUUCCAGCUCAGACUCGAGCUCUUGGGUCUGGGGAAGUAAUUGAGAAAUUAGGCACCAACUCUACUACAGGAGGCAGAGGCUGAAAUUGUAUUCUUCGCCACCAGCCUUCAGCUCCAGCACAUACCCUGGACUCCAACUUCUGAAGCUGCUGCUUGCCAUCCUUCAGUGACAGCUGCUCUCGGCCUCAUCCAGACAGAGCUGCAGUUCCUUCACUGUCUGGUCCAGGUUCUUCUUCAUCCUCUCCAGAUGAGUGCUGGUGUCCUGUUCCUUCUUCAUCUCCUCCGCCAUCAUGGCUGCCUUGAAAGGAUGAUGGCACUACAGGGCAGAGUUAAGAUCUUCUGUAUAACAGAGCACAUCCUACAUGUAGGCAAUGGAGUCACAUGAUAAGUGUUGGCAAGGAAAUGAAGAAGACUGGACAUUUAUCAGCAACAGAAGUAGGAGACCCCAAAGAAUAACUUCACAGAUGGACGUAUGGAAUCACUACUGGGGGCUGAGCAAGAUGUCUGAAGAGAACAAGCUGCAAGAACCAACUGGAGGAAAGGACCUACAGUGCAGGAAGGAACUGAGAACUGCUGCUCUGUUUAAACCAGACUGACCUUGGACAAACCCAAGAGAGCAUCCACAACUGGCCAAAGAAGACAGACAAUCUUCACUGGGGACUCCAUACUAAGAAAAAUGGACAGACCAUUCUGCAAGGAGCAGAAGGACUAGAGUCCAAGGUGAGCAGGACCUUGACAGUGUUCCAAUGACACUGUGACAGAGUAUGUAUUCCCUAUGUUCACACCCUACACACUAUUGUAAUAAUGUUUGUUACAAGGCAUGUCUUGUGAGGGAUCAUUUAAAAACUCAUAAUUUGCUGAUCAAUAAUAGCACAGCAAAAUGCACGUAGCAGCGUUAUAUGUGAAGUUAUACACACAAGCUGAAAUCAUGACUAAAGUAUGUUUUCCAGAUAAGUCUGGGGAGUGGGCAAACCCGUUCCUCAAAAACAUAGGGCAAUCUGAUGCCUCAGCCAGGUGUCAACAAGGCUAAUGGACCAUUACCAGCUAAGUGGCCAUUAUUUGGCAGGAAAGGGGGCAGGGGCAAAAAUCUACAUCUUCUCAAGGGAACAGUAUGGAACUUCCUUCCACACAGACAGCCUGUCGCCUUGCUCCCAGCUAGAAAUCCUUCUCAAACGGUAGGGGAGUAGGACUAUAAAAAGAAGGAACAGACAUCCCCCCCUCUCUCUCCCUGCCCUUCACAUUCACUGCACCUGUGGAGACAAAGGUUCAGAUACACCUUUUCUCAACUAGUUAGUCAUGAAAAAUCUACAUUCAGAAAUCCACAGUUAAGAUUAAAUUAAAAUAAAUCCAAACAUGUUAAACUAUGGAAAUACACAGGUAAGGCAACCGUUGGACUCAUGGGGAAGGGUCCUGACCUAAACAGCUUGAUCAGUAAGACUGCUGAAAGCAUGUGGUGAAAAACUUUGCAUUGAAUCUAACAUAGUUUGUUAAGUUAGUCAGCAGUUCACAUUUUAUCUUUAUUCUUUUGCAACCAUUUCUGACUUUGGCUGGA